UACGUAGGGUGCUAGCGUUGUUCGGAAUCAUUGGGCGUAAAGCGCGUGUAGGUGGUUAGUAAAGUUGGAUGUGAAAUCCCUGGGCUCAACCGAGGAAGUGCAUUCAAAACUAACUAGCUUGAGAGUGGUAGAGGAAGGUGGAAUUCCUAGUGUAGAGGUGAAAUUCGUAGAUAUUAGGAGGAAUACCGGAGGCGAAGGCGGCCUUCUGGACCAUUUCUGACACUGAGACGCGAAAGCAUGGGGAGCGAACAGG
rnacentral:rRNA from 1 species